rnacentral:rRNA from 1 species
UUCGGGGGACAGGGUGGACAGGUGGUGCAUGGUUGUCGUCAGCUCGUGUCGUGAGAUGUUGGGUUAAAGUCCCGCAACGAGCGCAACCCUCGACCUUAGUUGCCAGCAUUCAGUUGGGCACUCUAAGGUGACUGCCGGCUAAAAGUCGGAGGAAGGUGGGGAUGACGUCAAGUCCUCAUGGCCCUUAUAGGUGGGGCUACACACGUCAUACAAUGGAUGGUACAAAGGGUCGCCAACCCGCGAGGGGGAGCCAAUCCCAUAAAGCCAUUCGUAGUCCGGAUCGCAGUCUGCAACUCGACUGCGUGAAGUCGGAAUCGCUAGUAAUCGUGGAUCAGAAUGUCACGGUGAAUACGUUCCCGGGUCUU